GCCCCGGUGGCUCAGCAGGUUAAAGAUCCAGCAUUGUCAUUGCUGUGAUUCAGGUUCAAUCCCUGGCCUGGGAA
rnacentral:tRNA from 1 species